CUAGGGGGGGGUGGCAAAAGAUGGCAGUGACAGUUCUGGGACAGUGGGGUGCAUUGUGGAUACAGAACCUGAGGAGUCAGGGGAAGCUGGCUUUGGGUGUUUUACCUCAGUCGUACAUCCACACCAGUGUUUCUCUGGACAUUUUUCGAAAAUGGGAGAAGAAGAACAAAAUUAUUUAUCCUCCACAACUGCCUGGAGAACCUCGGAGGCCAGCAGAAAUCUACCACUGUCGAAGACAAAUAAAAUAUAGCAAAGACAAGAUGUGGUAUUUGGCAAAAUUGAUAUGGGGAAUGUCCAUCGACAAGGCUUUGGCUCAGUUGGAAUUCAAUGACAAAAAGGGGGCCCAAAUAAUUAAAGAGGUUCUCUUAGAAGCACAAGAUAUGGCAGUGAGAGGCCACAAUGUGGAAUUCAGGUCCAAUUUACAUAUAGCUGAGUCCACCUCAGGAUGAGGCCAGUGUCUGAAAUGUAUCCGUUACCAUGGCAGAGGCUACUUUGAGAUCAUGGAGAAGGUUUAGUGCCACUAUUUUGUGAAGUUAGUGGAAGGACCCCCACCUCUGCCUGAGGCGCCCAAGACCGCCGUCUCCCAUGCCCAGGAGUACAUCCAGUAGCUUCACAACUUGACCAUCAUUCACACCCUGUGA